GGGUAUCCAAGGGUCCCGUUGAAUGCGACACAGAUCACUCGCAGUCUGGAGGCAUAUAUACUGUGGCUUCUCGGCAAGGUGAUGUUCACAGAGACAUGCCUACCUUCGGUCUGAGUUGGACACGUCGUAGGAGACGCUUUGCUGCUGAUCAUACCAUACGAGCCUACACGGCAUUAAACGAGCAGUUUGAUGCGUACACUGGGGUGAUCUGGCAGCCAUACACGCAAGAAGCCAUAGAUGCAAGAUACCCCGACGGUUUGUCCAUGCUGUGCACAAGAGAUGCCGAUUAUUGGAUGAUGAAAUUGAAGAUCUUCUUCGAUGUCUUCAUCGAGGAGAUGGCCCAAUAGAGGGUUAUGAGGCAAUUCGGUCUUCUACAAUUGGAGGCUCCUCCCCCUAUGGAGGCCCCGCUGCACAGAAACAUCCACAGGAUCAGAAAGAAGGGGAUUAAUAGGACUGCUACUGAGUGGCUAGACAGGGUUCAGCCGUACGUUACACAAUGGGAGACCGCGAGCACACAUCUGUGGCACGAGAAUGACAACUUUGAUAUGGACGAAUUCAAUCUCUAUCUGCAGCGGUACAUGACCGGAACAUGGUUAUGCAUCGUUCAUCACAAACACCUAGAUGAGAUACCUGCCCCUAAUACAACGGAUAUGUAACCGAGCUAUGAUACUUCGGGCUGUAGGCAGCAAGCGGCUGAGUUGACUCGCGGAGUUGGCGAGGAGGUGUCCAGCUUUCAGCGUUCACUGUCGUCUGCACCUCUAAUGCUUCCUCGGGCUCAGGUCCAGUCUUGGAUGUCGCGCAUUGACGAGAAAGUACAAUCUAUGUAUCGGGCUAUUACGUGCACACGCACUUCGGACGUACUUCACCAACAUCCCCCCGCCACUCCACGCACCAGCAGCCGCCGCGUCACUCGACUGGUCAGCUCGAACCCACGCAUCACCGACAUGAUCUGCGUCCACGUCUAGCAGGGCAGUGGACGACCAGGCCACCCCCUCCUGACCAGGCCGGUAGUUCGGCGUGGCAGCACCAGCCGGAUCCCACGUCUGCCUACGUGUUUCGGCCACGACCUCCGCCUGCAGGGUCCUACGGAUAUCAGGCGUAUGGACAUGACGCGUCUAUGUCCGGAUCCGGGUGGGAUAGUGACCAUGAAGGUGGGCAUAACAGACAAGAUUUCUUGUCGUAGCACAAUGAGUGGAUGGACAUAUAUACGACUCCUGCACCACCUCCCACACAGGAAACACAACAUGACCAGGCAUGGUCUGACCUUCCUCCCCGUAAUGUUCGGCCACCCCACAGGUAUCUGUGGCCGCCGCCGCCUACACCACCUCCACGACGUGCCAGACGACAUGGCUGAUGCUUGUCUACCACUAUAUCUAUCUAUGUACGCGAGGGACAUAUGCUACCUAUGUAUGCAACAGACAUAUCUAUCUAUGUAUGCGAGAGACAUAUUAUACCUAUGUAUGUGAGACACAUAUUUC